rnacentral:rRNA from 1 species
UACAGAGGUCUCAAGCGUUUGUUCGGAUUCAUUGGGCGUAAAGGGUGCGUAGGCGGCGCGGUAAGUCGGGGUGUGAAAUCUCGGAGCUUAACUCCGAAACUGCAUUCGAUACUGCCUUGCUCGAGUACUGGAGAGGAGACUGGAAUUUACGGUGUAGCAGUGAAAUGCGUAGAUAUCGUAAGGAAGACCAGUGGCGAAGGCGAGUCUCUGGGACAGUUACGUGACGCUGAGGCACGAAGGCCCAGGGGAGCAAAACGGGG